AGUGAACGCUGGCGGUAGGCCUAACACAUGCAAGUCGAACGGCAGCACAGUAAGAGCUUGCUCUUACGGGUAGCGAGUGGCGGACGGGUGAGGAAUACAUCGGAAUCUACUUUUUCGUGGGGGAUAACGUAGGGAAACUUACGCUAAUACCGCAUACGACCUACGGGUGAAAGCAGGGGAUCUUCUGACCUUGCGCGAUUGAAUGAGCCGAUGUCGGAUUAGCUAGUUGGCGGGGUAAAGGCCCACCAAGGCGACGAUCCGUAGCUGGUCUGAGAGGAUGAUCAGCAGCACUGGAACUGAGACACGGUCCAGAAUCCGACGGGAGGCAGCAGUGGGGAAUAUUGGACAAUGGGCGCAAGCCUGAUCCAGCCAUACCGCGUGGGUGAAGAAGGCCUUCGGGUUGUAAAGCCCUUUUGUUGGGAAAGAAAAGCAGCAGGUUAAUACCCCGCUGUUCUGACGGUACCCAAAGAAUAAGCACCGGCGAACUUCGU
rnacentral:rRNA from 1 species